GACGAACGCUGGCGGCAAGCUUAACACAUGCAAGUCGAACGCCGUAGCAAUACGGAGUGGCAGACGGGUGAGUAACGCGUGGGAACGUGCCUUUCGGUUCGGAACAACUGAGGGAAACUUCAGCUAAAACCGGAUACGCCCUUCGGGGGAAAGUUUACGCCGAAAGAUCGGCCCGCGUUAGAUUAGCUAGUUGGUGGGGUAAUGGCCUACCAAGGCGACGAUCUAUAGCUGUUCUGAGAGGAAGAUCAGCCACACUGGGACUGAGACACGGCCCAGACUCCUACGGGAGGCAGCAGUGGGGAAUAUUGGACAAUGGGCGCAAGCCUGAUCCAGCUAUGCCGCGUGGAUGAAGAAGGCCUUAGGGUUGUAAAGUCCUUUCGUUGGUGAAGAUAAUGACGGUAACCAAAGAAGAAGCCCCGGCUAAUUUCGUGCCAGCCGCCGCAGUAAGAC
rnacentral:rRNA from 1 species